AGUGAACGCUGGCGGUAGGCCUAACACAUGCAAGUCGAACGGCAGCACAGAGGAGCUUGCUCCUUGGGUGGCGAGUGGCGGACGGGUGAGGAAUACAUCGGAAUCUACUCUGUCGUGGGGGAUAACGUAGGGAAACUUACGCUAAUACCGCAUACGACCUACGGGUGAAAGCAGGGGAUCUUCGGACCUUGCGCGAUUGAAUGAGCCGAUGUCGGAUUAGCUAGUUGGCGGGGUAAAGGCCCACCAAGGCGACGAUCCGUAGCUGGUCUGGUAAGAUGAUCAGCCGCACUGGAACUGAGGCACGGUCCAGACUCCUACGGGAGGCAGCAGUGGGGAAUAUUGGACAAUGGGCGCAAGCCUGAUUCAGCCAUACCGCGUGGGUGAAGAAGGCCUUCGGGUUGUAAAGCCCUUUUGUUGGGAAAGAAAUCCAUCUGGUUAAUACCCGGGUGGGAUGACGGUACCCAAAGAAUAAGCACCGGCUAACUUCGUGCCAGCAGCCGCGGUAA
rnacentral:rRNA from 1 species